rnacentral:rRNA from 1 species
AUUGAACGCUGGCGGCAGGCCUAACACAUGCAAGUCGAGCGAGCGGCGGACGGGUGAGUAAUGUAUGGGGCUCUGCCUGAUGGAGGGGGAUCAGUAAUGGGAACUGUUGCUAAUACCGUAUACUAGCGGAUAAGUCCAUAUGGGAUUAGCUAGUAGGUGGGGUAAAGGCUUACCUAGGCGACUAUCUCGAGCUGGUCUGAGAGGAUGAUCAGCCACACUGGAACUGAGACACGGCCCAGACUCCUACGGGAGGCAGCAGUGGGGAAUAUUGCACAAUGGGCGCAAGCCUGAUGCAGCCAUGCCGCGUGUAUGAAGAAGGUCUUCGGGUUGUAAAGUACUUUCAGCUGGGAGGCGUUACCAGCAGAAGAAGCACCGGCUAACUCCGUGCCAGCCGCCGCGGUAAUAC